rnacentral:sRNA from 1 species
UGACAAAGUAAUGCGCAAACGGCUGUUUA